GCCCCCGUAGCUCAGUUGGAUAGAGCAGCGGCCUCCGGAGCCGUGUGCGGGCGUUCGAGUCGCCCCGGGGGUA
rnacentral:tRNA from 1 species